rnacentral:rRNA from 1 species
UUAAGCAUAUCAAUAAGCGGAGGAAAAGAAACUAACAAGGAUUCCCCUAGUAACUGCGAGUGAAGCGGGAAAAGCUCAAAUUUAAAAUCUGGUAGUCUUUGGCUGCCCGAGUUGUAAUCUAGAGAAGCAUUAUCCGCGCUGGACCGUGUACAAGUCUCCUGGAACGGAGCGUCAUAGAGGGUGAGAAUCCCGUCUUUGACACGGACUACCAGGGCUUUGUGAUGUGCUCUCAAAGAGUCGAGUUGUUUGGGAAUGCAGCUCUAAAUGGGUGGUAAAUUCCAUCUAAAGCUAAAUAUUGGCGAGAGACCGAUAGCGAACAAGUACCGUGAGGGAAAGAUGAAAAGAACUUUGGAAAGAGAGUUAAACAGUACGUGAAAUUGUUGAAAGGGAAACGCUUGAAGUCAGUCGCGUUUGCCGGGGAUCAGCCUUGCUCUUUUGCUUGGUGUACUUCCUGGCUGACGGGUCAGCAUCAAUUUUGACCGGUGGAUAAAGGUCAGGGGAAUGUGGCAUCUUCGGAUGUGUUAUAGCCCUUGGUUGCAUACGCCGGUUGGGAUUGAGGAACUCAGCACGCCGCAAGGCCGGGUCUUUGACCACGUACGUGCUUAGGAUGCUGGCAUAAUGGCUUUAAUCGACCCGUCUUGAAACACGGACCAAGGAGUCUAACAUGCCCGCGAGUGUUUGGGUGGAAAACCCGGACGCGUAAUGAAAGUGAAAGUUGAGAUCCCUGUCGUGGGGAGCAUCGACGCCCGGACCAGACCUCUUGUGACGGUCCCGCGGUAGAGCGUGUAUGUUGGGACCCGAAAGAUGGUGAACUAUGCCUGAAUAGGGUGAAGCCAGAGGAAACUCUGGUGGAGGCUCGUAGCGAUUCUGACGUGCAAAUCGAUCAGUCGAA